UACGAAGGGGGCGAGCGUUGUUCGGAUUUACUGGGCGUAAAGGGCGCGCAGGCGGUCGUUCAAGUCGAGUGUGAAAGCCCCCGGCUCAACUGGGGAGGGUCAUUCGAUACUGAUCGACUUGAAGGCAGGAGAGGGAAGCGGAAUUCCCGGUGUAGUGGUGAAAUGCGUAGAUAUCGGGAGGAACACCAGUGGCGAAGGCGGCUUCCUGGCCUGUUCUUGACGCUGAGGCGCGAAAGCUAGGGGAGCAAACGGG
rnacentral:rRNA from 1 species